GCCCAGCUGGCUCAGUCGGAACAGUGUGAGACUCUUGAUCUCAGGGUCGUGAGCUCAACUCCCAUGUUGGGUG
rnacentral:tRNA from 1 species